rfam:Dipodomys ordii contig_49463, whole genome shotgun sequence.
GGUGGCUCAGUGGUAGAGUGCUUGUCUUACAUGCAUGAAGACCUGAGUUCGAUUCCUCAGCACCA